rnacentral:rRNA from 1 species
UACGUAGGGCGCAAGCGUUGUCCCGGAAUUAUUGGGCGUAAAGAGCUCGUAGGCGGUUUGUCGCGUCUGCUGUGAAAACCUAAGGCUCAACCUUGGGCCUUGCAGUGGGUACGGGGCCAGACUAGAGUGCGGUAGGGGGUGACUGGAAUUCCUGGUGUAGCGGUGGAAGUGCGCAGAUAUCAGGAGGAACACCGAUGGCGAAGGCAGGUC